rnacentral:rRNA from 1 species
ACUAGACCGAUAGUGCACAAGUACCGUGAGGGAAAGGUGAAAAGAACUGAGGUGAUCAGAGUGAAAUAGAACCUGAAACCAUUUGCUUACAAUCAUUCAGAGCACGAUUCUUUAUGACGUGUGAUGGACUGCCUUUUGCAUAAUGAGCCUGCGAGUUGUGGUGUCUGGCGAGGUUAAGGAAACCCGGAGCCGUAGCGAAAGCGAGUCUUAAUAGGGCGUAUAGUCAGAUGCUGCAGACCCGAAACGAUGUGAUCUAUCCAUGAGCAGGUUGAAACUGGUGUAAGAGCCAGCGGAGGACCGAACAGACGGCCGUUGAAAAGGCUCCUGAUGACUUGUGGAUAGGGGUG